UACGAAGGGGGCUAGCGUUGCUCGGAAUUACUGGGCGUAAAGGGAGCGUAGGCGGACAUUUUAAGUCAGGGGUGAAAUCCCAGAGCUCAACUCUGGAACUGCCUUUGAUACUGGGUGUCUUGAGUGUGAUAGAGGUAUGUGGAACUCCGAGUGUAGAGGUGAAAUUCGUAGAUAUUCGGAAGAACACCAGUGGCGAAGGCGACAUACUGGGAUCAUUACUGACGCUGAGGCUCGAAAGCGUGGGGAGCAAACAGG
rnacentral:rRNA from 1 species